ensembl:lncRNA
UUACAAACAGCUGAAUUUAUCAUGGGCAUGGAGACGGCUAACUAUAUCCAUUUCAAACCCAGGGACAGAGCCAUCUCAGGCAAGGAGAUGCAAUGGAGAUCCAGGCGGUGAGUUUUUGCAUACACACACUCACAAUAUCACACAUGCAUCAGUGCUUAUCAUGCACAAUAUGACCCCUUUCUGAUAAGGAGAGUGUUUGCUUAUCUCUCUGCUUGAAUAAAUGCCAUCAGAUCAGAUGAAG